rnacentral:rRNA from 1 species
GACGAACGCUGGCGGCGUGCCUAAUACAUGCAAGUUGAGCGCUGAAGGUUGGUACUUGUACCGACUGGAUGAGCAGCGAACGGGUGAGUAACGCGUGGGGAAUCUGCCUUUGAGCGGGGGACAACAUUUGGAAACGAAUGCUAAUACCGCAUAAAAACUUUAAACACAAGUUUUAAGUUUGAAAGAUGCAAUUGCAUCACUCAAAGAUGAUCCCGCGUUGUAUUAGCUAGUUGGUGAGGUAAAGGCUCACCAAGGCGAUGAUACAUAGCCGACCUGAGAGGGUGAUCGGCCACAUUGGGACUGAGACACGGCCCAAACUCCUACGGGAGGCAGCAGUAGGGAAUCUUCGGCAAUGGACGAAAGUCUGACCGAGCAACGCCGCGUGAGUGAAGAAGGUUUUCGGAUCGUAAAACUCUGUUGGUAGAGAAGAACGUUGGUGAGAGUGGAAAGAUCAUCAAGUGACGGUAACUACCCAGAAAGGGACGGCUAACUACGUG